GAUUGGGCAUUUGUCCCAAAGGAAACACACUCCUUAAGUUAAACGUGAGACUCAGGUUCAAAACCAACAUUUCCCUCCUCCUGCAUUCUCGUCGUCUUCGUCGCGUCGGUAUCGCCUCCGGCGGCGGCGGAGCCUAAAUCAACGUCCCGAACACACCAAUAGAACCAACUCAAUAAGCCAAACCUAGAUAUGUUAUCUAUUUUCCCUCAUUCUCCAGCACCAUUACGAAUCGAGUCAGAUUUUAGAUUAACCCUAAUCCAUAAUUUCAGAAAUUAAACGCAAGGGAGACAAAAUUGAAGCCAACACAGUUAGGGCUUGAAAUCCUUAGGCCAAGGGCGACAUACCAGUAAUAAGUUAAAGAUGAAAUGAAGGAUAAACAAAAAGGAGUUUAUCGUCCGGGGUAGUCCUGGCGACUCUUCAAGAUUGUUAUGUGCAAUGGAUGGAAAAGCAUGAAGGAAGGAAAUGAAAGGAAAGUGUGGAGGCAAGGUGCAUGCCAAGAUUCAUGACAUGGAAAUGGUCAAUUUUGCUGAAAGUGGGAUUUUCUUGCUUGUGAAGUAACAUUGAAUUUUAUGAAUUAUGUAUGGGUGGAAUGUAGUAAGAAGCAGGUUUAGGAUGAAGAAAUUGCAAAGGUUGACUUUGGUCAACUAUUUGACCAAAAGUCAAUAGUUGACCAAAAGUCAACUUUUUAAAAAAUGUAUAUUUCUUGACAUUUUUGUAAUGGAUUGUGUAUGCCUUCAUAAAUGAAUGAAAAAUCAAUUGUUUGGACGAAAAA